rnacentral:tRNA from 1 species
GGGGUCAUAGUAUAACGGGAUUACGCGGCCUUUGCAAGGCUGACAUCGGGGUUCGAUUCCCCGUGACUCCACCA